rnacentral:rRNA from 1 species
CCUACGGGAGGCAGCAGUGGGGAAUAUUGGGCAAUGGGCGCAAGCCUGACCCAGCAACGCCGCGUGAAGGAAGAAGGCUUUCGGGUUGUAAACUUCUUUUGUCAGGGACGAAGCAAGUGACGGUACCUGACGAAUAAGCCACGGCUAACUACGUGCCAGCAGCCGCGGCAAUACGUAGGUGGCAAGCGUUAACCGGAUUUACAGGGUGAAAAGGGCGUGUAGGCGGGACUGCAAGUCAGAUGUGAAAAACACGGGCUCAACCUGUGGCCUGCAUUUGAAACUGUAGUUCUUGAGUACUGGAGAGGCAGGCGGAAUGCCUAGUGUAGCGGUGAAAUGCGUAGAUAUUAGGAAGAACACCAGUGGCGAAGGCGGUCUGCUGGACAGCAACUGACGCUGAGGCGCGAAAGCGUGGGGAGCGAACAGGAUUAGAUACCCGAGUAGUC